AGGGGAGCUUCCUGACCCAGGGAUCGAACCGGAGUCUCCUGCAUCUCCUGCAUUGGCAGGUCCUUAUCUGAGCAAUGAGUUCUCCAAGAUUUCUGUCAUCCUCCUGGUCAACAUUUCAGGGCAGCAAGCCCUGGGCCAUCCACCAGACUUGGACACCUGGGAAGUAGGACCACCAUGGUAGCAGAGCAGACAUAUUACCGAUGGCCCAGAGGACCCAAACCAGUGCUCCUGAUCUACGCUGGUGACCGACAACACCUGUACUUCCAACCCUGCCAGACGCUGCACUGAGAAUCAAGAGCUUGCUUCUGGAGAUGCUGAUUCAAGCGCACAGGAGUCUGGGGGCCUGGGUUUAAUCUCUGGUUGAGGAGCUAAGAUCCCACAGGUGGCGUGGUGCAGCCAAAAAAAAAAAGAGGUGAAACUUGGAGAAAAGGGGACUGCAGUGGGGUCCUGGCGCCAGCAUUCCACGUUCCUGAGUACAUUUCUUAACCUCUGAGUGUCUGAGUUUUCAUCUACAAAUAAAGAUAAUAAUAAACACUUGUGGAAUUGGUGACUGAAAGGGGACAUGCUUGCCUGCACUAAUUCCUAACCUCUCUGAUCCCACUUGGACUCUGGGCUGCCCCAGGCCUCCUGGGCUUAGGCUGUGCUGCAGCCAUCUGCUCUCUGCCUGAGAAGGGGGUAACAAUGAGGCCCCAAAGGGAGGGACUUUCCUGGCUGGGCAGCCCUCAGCCAGCGCCACUGGACUGAUCAUCCCUUCACUCUGACCGUACACAACUGCUGAGGCCUAAUACAAUAUUUUUUGUUUACAGAGCCAGGUUUACGCUUUCUGACGAGCAAAGAUUAGGUGAUUCUCUGUCACUCCGGGUAGUACACCAGAGCGAGUCCCGUUAACCCACUGUACUCAGCAGCAAACCGUGGUUCCAGGGGGAAGUGUCACCAAGAAGCCACUGGCAGGUCUGGGGCUUAUUGAUUUCCACCCUCUCCAGCUGCUUUUGUUUGCGUAGAGGGGUUGUGCUUCUGCUGGGAGACUGUGUUGCUCUGGGAGCCAUCAAGCCGAUGACUGUAAGAAAAACGGUCUCUAAACCAUUUCCAGUCUGAUUCCAGUGAUGCUAUGGUGGGUCUGUUGCAUAAAGUGCUCCUUAGGCUUCCAGUGCAGCAGAAAGAAGGUGGCAUCCCAGACAGAGCCCAAGGGCUACAAGGGCUGCGGGGCGCUGAGCCGGCAAGCAUCUCCCCACCUGACUCUGUGGGAUUGC